UGUAUCUGAAAUCAAGCAGGAUCACCCGCUGAACUUAAGCAUAUCACUAAGCGGAGGARAAGAAAUUAACUAAGAUUGCCUCAGUAACGGCGAGUGAAGCGGCAAAAGCCCAAAAUGGUAAUCUUCACCUUUCAGGUGACGAAUUGUAAUCUACAGGUGGGAUACUCAACUGGAGGUGAUGCAGAAGUACCCUAGAACGGGUCGCCAAAGAGGGUGACAGCCCCGUAUGUGGUGUCGCCUCCUAACGAGUACCUUUCGAAGAGUCGGGUUGUUUGGAAAUGCAGCCCUAAUUUGGAGAUACACUUCUUCUAAGGCUAAAUAUGUAUGGGAAACCGAUAGCGAACAAGUACUGUGAAGGAAAGAUGAAAAGAACUUUGAAAAGAGAGUCAAAAGACUUGAAAUCGUUGAGAAGGAAGCGGUAGAAAUUUAUUCUGCAGCUAGGAAUAAAGGUUGUCGCCUAAACAUUGUGGUAUUGAGUACUUCAACGGCUCGGUGCCACACCUGUGGAAGUGAUUGCUGGAUUCCUGGUAGUGAGGCAAAAUGGGGUUUCAUAUCCUCAAAAGCUUAGAUUACCUGGGGAGGUUCGCCUUCCAGUAGUUUUGUGCUCGUGGAUAUGGAGCCUGAGGAAGCUUAUGCGAUUUUGYUAAAAUGGUUUUUACCGACCCGUCUCGAAACACGGACCAAGGAGUCUUAACAUAUAUGCGAGUGUGCUGGUGGAGAAACCAACACGCAUAAUGAAGGUAAUUGAUGCCAAGCGCAAGCAGCAGCAUCGACCGACCAUGAUCCUCCGGUGAAAGGUUUGAGUAAGAGCAUAUAUGCUAGGACCCGAAAGAUGGUGAACUAUGCCUGGGUAGGGUGAAGCCAGGGGAAACUCUGGUGGAAGCUCGAAGCGAUUCUGACGUGCAAAUCGAUCGUCAAACUUGGGUAUAGGGGCGAAAGACUAAUCGAACCAUCUAGUAGCUGGUUCCCUCCGAAGUUUCCCUUAGGAUAGCUGAGACAACAACGCAGUUUUAUCAGGUAAAGCGAAUGAUUAGAGGUAUCUGGGGUAAAUUGCCCUGGACCUAUUCUCAAACUUUAAAUUGGUAAGAACCUUGGCCUUUCUUAAUUGAGGCACAAGGGAUCAAUGCUUGUCUCAAGUGGGCCAUUUUUGGUAAGCAGAACUGGCGAUGAGGGUUGCUCCUAACGUUGAGUUAAGGUGCCAAACUACACGCUCAUCAAAAACUACAAAGGGUGUUGGUUCAUCCAGACAGCAGGACGGUGGCCAUGGAAGUCGGAACCCGCUAAGGAGUGUGUAACAACUCACCUGCCGAAUGGACUAGCCCCGAAAAUCGAUGGCGCUAAAGCGUGUGACCGAUACUCGACCAUU
rnacentral:rRNA from 1 species